rnacentral:rRNA from 1 species
GUGCCUAACACAUGCAAGUCGAGCGAGAAAGUGUAGCAAUACAUGAGUACAGCGGCGCACGGGUGAGUAACACGUGGGUAAUCUGCCCUGGAGUGGGGAAUAACACCGGGAAACCGGUGCUAAUACCGCAUACGAUCACGAUGUCUGCGGAUGUUGUGAUGAAAGGAGCAAUUCGCUCCAGGAGGAGCCCGCGGCUGAUUAGCUAGUUGGUGAGGUAAUGGCUCACCAAGGCUACGAUCAGUAUCCGGUCUGAGAGGACGGUCGGACACACUGGAACUGAGACACGGUCCAGACCCCUACGGGAGGCAGCAGUGGGGAAUUUUUGGCAAUGGGGGCAACCCUGACCAAGCAACGCCGCGUGGGUGAUGAAGUCUCUUGGGACGUAAAACCCUUUCGACGGGGAAGAAACCGCAAGGUUGACGGUACCCGUAGAAGAAGCCCCGGCUAACUCCGUGCCAGCAGCCGCGGUAAUA